rnacentral:rRNA from 1 species
ACGGAAGGCAGCAGUGGGGAAUAUUGCACAAUGGGGGAAACCCUGAUGCAGCGACGCCGCGUGGGUGAAGAAGUUUUUCGGAAUGUAAAGCCCUAUCAGCAGGGAAGAUAAUGACGGUACCUGACUAAGAAGCCCCGGCUAACCACGUGCCAGCAGCCGCGGUAAUACGUAGGGGGCAAGCGUUAUCCGGAUUUACUGGGUGUAAAGGGAGCGUAGACGGCGAUGCAAGUCUGAAGUGAAAGCCCGUGGCUUAACUGCGGAACUGCUUUGGAAACUGUAUUGCUAGAGUGUCGGAGAGGUGAGUGGAAUUCCCAGUGUAGCGGUGAAAUGCGUAGAUAUUGGGAGGAACACCGGCGGCGAAGGCGGCUCACUGGACGAUAACUGACGUUGAGGCUCGAAAGCGUGGGGAGCAAACAGGAUUAGAUACCCUGGUA